AACAAACGCUGGCGGCAGGCUUAACACAUGCAAGUCGAACGCCCCGCAAGGGGAGUGGCAGACGGGUGAGUAACGCGUGGGAAUCUACCUAGUUCUACGGAACAACAGAGGGAAACUUCUGCUAAUACCGUAUACGCCCUAAGGGGGAAAGAUUUAUCGGAAUUAGAUGAGCCCGCGUAAGAUUAGCUAGUUGGUGGGGUAAUGGCCUACCAAGGCGACGAUCUUUAGCUGGUCUGAGAGGAUGAUCAGCCACACUGGGACUGAGACACGGCCCAGACUCCUACGGGAGGCAGCAGUGGGGAAUAUUGGACAAUGGGCGCAAGCCUGAUCCAGCCAUGCCGCGUGAGUGAUGAAGGCCUUAGGGUUGUAAAGCUCUUUCAGUGGGGACGAUAAUGACGGUACCCACAGAAGAAGCCCCGGCUAACUUCGUG
rnacentral:rRNA from 1 species